CGCCGCUCCCGCAGUCGGGCUAGGGCUCCACGCAGGGACCCCUGCCCUGUCCUCCUCUGGGCCCACCCGGGCGUUCCCCAUCCCAGGCAAACGGAGAAAUAAGGUCGCGAGGCAGGCUCCAUAUCCUGAGCACCGGGACCCCCAGGAUCCUCUCUGGAUGCCCCCCGGCCCUGGGGCCUGAGGACUGUGACACCCUGUCCCUGGCUCACCUGAGUUUCUCAGGCCCCAGGAUGCCAUAGAGGCCUGGCCCCUGCAAUGUCACCACCCCUGCGGGCCCUCCUUCUCCUGGCCCUGGAGCUGGGGCUGGCUGCCACCCUCAACCCCAAGGACCCCAAUACCUGCAGCUUCUGGGAAAGUUUCACCACCACGACCAAGGAGUCGCACUCCCGCCCCUUCAGCCUGCUCCCCUCGGAGCCCUGCGACCGGCCCUGGGAGAGCCCGCACAGCUGC